CUUGGCAGCCGCAGAAAAGAGGAAAGCAGAAGCCAAACAAUGCCAACAUGUCCCAACUCAACACUCUAAAGUUUUUUCGUCAGGUUGCUCUUUUACUAUGUGCUUGCCUUACUGAUGCUGCCCGAACGGAAUCAUUCAUUCCGGGUUCCACCGACUCUGCCGGCAUCCGUCCCAGAUGGAAUCAAGAUAAGUCAAACGCUUAUGGGAUCGAACAGCAGACUGGAACCGGUUAUUUCGUUCCUGUUGCUUCUGAAUUCCAUCCGGAAGGAAGAAUUGACAACAGCCGUCCGUCGAACGGAUGGCGGAGUUACGACAACGCCGUCCCCUAUGAGGUAGUAAACCUUUCCGAUGUCGACAUCCAGCACAAAACUUGGCCGGAUAUUCCCAGUAAAGAAUUCCCUCGCCGUCGAGUGUUUCCUCGCCACUCUUCCUCGUCACUAUCCCUUCGGAUGCCAAGCAAGCACUACUAUUUUCGCCUCUGUCGCGCCUGUAUCCGUUACAUUGUAAGAGUAAUCUUCUCCUAAAUCGGCCGCCAAUGGAUUGUUAACGGUAGCUAAAAAUCGUCGCUCAUUCACUGGUAUAAUUAAUCACAUUUUGGGUCAAUUUCUAAUCGAAAAUCGUUUCAGGACGCAACCGACAAGUGUUACCGCCGACAAAAGACGAAAAGAUGGGUGAGGGAAAGUGGCAAACACGAUUUUUUUUUUUCACUUAAAAUGUUUCGAUGGCCCGAACAAAAAUUAAAGACCUAAAAAUUAUCAAAGAAAAAGACCCUAAACAAGGGAAAGAAUCGGCUAAUUUCGAGAGGGUAAGAAUCAAUUCUAUGUCUUUUUUAUUCAAUGAUUAAAGAAAUCUCCGGUAAAUCCUUGGGCUUCAAUCUGUCAUUCCCGUCGGCCACAAAUUUCCGUUAAAAAAAUACUGAUUUGAACUUGAAAAAUCGCUUGAAUUCAAUUAACACGCUGAAUACAUUCAUUUUUUGGCAAUUUAAUGUUCCUGCCUAGAAUAUUAUGUCUUACUCCCACCAUACUGAUGAGGUUAAAAAUCCAGCUUUAGGCCUAUAUCUAGUUAUAGUGUUAGUGCUCAUUGGAAACUUCCACUUUUUCAACUAUCAACUUAAUCAACUUGUUGGUUUUUUGUUUUUAAACCAAUGUUUUAAAAAAUCUCCAGUAAAAUCCUUGCACGGCUAGUAUCUGUCAAGCCCGUCGGCUACAAACAUCCGUAAUCAAAAACUGAUUUUAACUUGAAAAUUGCUUGAAUUCAAUCAAAACGCUGAAUAAAUUCAUUUUCUGGUGAAUUUAAUGUUCUUUUUUUCUGCUUAAAAUGUUAUAUCGUACUCCCAUCAUACUAAUGGGUUAAAAAUUAAAAUUCAGCUUUAGGCCUAUAUCUAGCUAUUGUGUUAGCGCUCAUUAGAUGUAUUUUGGACUCGGCUUAUCGUGUCUAGUAGUGGCUAACGACGAAAUCAAAUUGUUUUAAUCUACAGGCACAUAAUGGGGAUGGGGGUAUUACAUUCAGUUUGUAAUUAUUUGAAUCAAUUUGUCUGAAAAUUUUAAGUCAACGCCCAAAUAGAUACGAAAUUUUUUAACCGUCGCGAGUCAACUGUAAUUCUCGAUAGCUCUUGAUCGAAAUUGAAUUACAAAAUAUUACAACGCCUUAAAAAAAAUCCCACGGGAACCUUCCCACAAUUCCUUCUUCGUACGUUUUGUUCGGCGUAAAGCAAAGUGAUGUCCUUACAACAAUUUCCGCCUGCAUCUAAUUAUUUCGCAAAUUGUGAUUGUAACGCAGAAUCGUCUUGAACGCAAAAGCAAACGAAAACUUCGCGCUUGUCUUGUUCCCAAGAUGACAAAACACACUUGAAUGAUGAAUCCCGUAAAAUCUAGUUAAGACGCCACAGACGAAUGGCCUUGUGGUAAGUUAUUUAACUUUUAGUGAAGUAAUAAAUAAAAUUGAAAGGGACAAUGGGAAAAAAAAAUCAGAAUUACAAGGCAAACGAGUUUCCGGCAUUUUGAAUUAAUUUUCAACCGUAUACAUGCGAUUCAUGCAUUUUGCGCAUCAGCUGAAGGCCAGCGACAUAACUCGCUUUCGGACCUCCCUCUUGACGCAGGGAAGGAAGGGGCGUCUGCAGCAGUCCACAAUUCAAAGAGAAAGAGAAACGUAUUAGCUUCGGGAAUACCCACCUCAAACUCGCUGGUUUUUCCUUUGGGAGGGAUUCUAGAGAUUUCCUUGCAUUUGAGUGGAGGAAAUGGGCGGGGCCGAUGUAGAAACUGAUAACAUUUACUAUUUCCCUCGGUCAUUUUUUUGUCAAACUCACUCGUCUUUAAGCCUUCUACCCUGCAUGGUGCAGGGUAACAGUGCAACAGUUAAACGCGGCCAGUUGGAGAACUAAAGCGACGUGACUGGAGUCAAUCCAAACGAGAAGAAAGAGACUGUCAAGGGUGAACCGGUCGUUGGAGAAAGACAAUUAAAGAGAUAAUACAAGACUAAACUACAGUCGGGAAAGCAGAGCAAAAUUGAGGGACAGUUUGUUGUCAAUGCCGAGCAAUUGCCAAAUGAUGCCCGGAACACGGUGAUGAAGCUAUUGAACAACCAGUGCCUAUCGUUCCAGGAGAAAGAAUAUUUAAACAAGAACAAGAAGGAGAGUUGUCGUCGGAUGAAUCCAACGGCCUUGAAUUGGAUUCGUCGAACUGUUAACCAGCGAAGUUGGAGGGCUUUUGGGAGCUAUCCAUUUUCAUUCAACUCACUUCUUACGCAGUUUUCUUAGUAUUCAAAUUUUUUGAGCUAAAGGCGUUGGCUACAAUCAAUUGGUAUACGGCAGACCCGCAGACUUUAUCGUUAAAAAGAUUUUGUAUACCAGAUUGGAUUUUCUAUUCAUCAAUGUUUUUGUUGUUUAGAAUUACGUUAACUGUGCUUACCCCCAGCAUGGUGGCCAUCCUCAUCGGAUCGUAUGGUAAAAGAAGGUGAGGACAGUAAUUCACUCAGGAUGCUGUUGUAAUUCAGGUUGAUGUUCUGUAAUUCAAAUAUUUCUGUUGAAUUAAUCAGAAAAGAUCAGAUAUUCACAGCACGUAAAAAUGGAUACACAAAUAGAAAUGUAAAAUUUGAAAUUCAAUCUGUUCGAUAUUACUCCCAAAAGCAAGUGAGCCCUUGCCGUGAGUAAAAAGUAAAAACGUUGAGAUUUCUGUGAAGCAUAGCCGUCGUCAUUCUGGAAAAUCCCAAACGAUGACGGCAAUCCCAGAUUGAAAGAAUAAUAUUACGCACACGCAAGGCAACCAGACGAAACCGGUUUGGCUCAGUAAAAAGAAAAAAACACGCGUGAACGCCCUGAGGGGACGCACUUUGCAUAUUCCGAUUUUGGUAUAAAAGGCCAAGAAGAGUUUGAAUGGAGUAUCAGUCUCUUUUCAGCUCAUCGACAAGAAACAAGCAAAUAAAAUCAACAUGUACCGACUUAAUACUUUGGUUAUCCUUUUGGUGUCAGUUUACGCUGUCAGUGCCCGACCGGCUGAAUCGUCCACCCCAGCCGCCACCACCGAGUCUGUCGAUGUUCGUCAGGGAUGGAAUCAGGGCCAGCAAAAUGUGAAUGCCUAUCCCAACAGUCAGCAAAUCGGGACCGGUUAUUCUAACACCGGAUCUUAUCCGGCCGGAAGCAACAGCCGCCCAUCAUACGGUUACGACAAUGCCUUCCCAGAUCAGGUGAACUUCUCCGCUGCCGAUCAACACCGCGGUGUCGCCUCAAUCUUCAACAUGAAUAUCCCACUCCAGGGCGGAUUUGUUGGAAAUCCAGUUCAGAAUCAAGUGACUGGAUUCGCUCCUACUGGAUAUAAGGAAACUGGUGGCGUCUCCGCCUCUGCAUCCGCUGUGUCUGUUUCUUCUUAAUUUUCUCCAAUUAACAAUGAGCUUGCAAAUGUAACACUGCGUGUACGAACUGUAUAAAAAUAAAAUUGAACGUCAAUAAAUUAUUUCAUUCU